rnacentral:rRNA from 1 species
CGUGGGUAACCUGCCCAAGAGAUCGGGAUAACACCUGGAAACAGAUGCUAAUACCGGAUAAUAACAGAUGAUGCCUAUCAACUGUUUAAAAGAUGGUUCUGCUAUCACUCUUGGAUGGACCUGCGGUGCAUUAGCUAGUUGGUAGGGUAACGGCCUACCAAGGCGAUGAUGCAUAGCCGAGUUGAGAGACUGAUCGGCCACAUUGGGACUGAGACACGGCCCAAACUCCUACGGGAGGCAGCAGGA